UCCCAAUUGAAUUUUUCCUUAAUUUUUUAUUUUUAUGAAAGUUAUUCAUACUCAUAGUUUUACAAAAAAAAAAUCAAAAUAAUAGACAAGGCUGAUAAUAAAUUAUGGGGACUAGAAAAUAAAUGGACUCCUGGACAAACUCCCUUGGGCCUGAUGACCCACCCAGUGAUUGUUUCCCCAGUUCCCAAAUGUAUAAUUAGGAUUGAUAUGCUUGCAAUUGGCACAAAUCCCAUAUUGGGUGUUGGUCUGAAAGUUAAGGUCUAUCAUAGUGUGAAAAAUAAAGAGGAAGUCUCAGAAGCUACCCUCCAUGACAACCAAGAUAGUAAAUCAAUAACUAUCACAUCCCAGGGUGAGGGAUAGAAAAGAUUAGGGACAUUUUAAGGAUCUGAAGCAGGAGCUGGAAAAUUAUGGACCAUGGACAAAGUUGGUGCAUGGCCAGUUUUUACACAGCCUGCAAGCUAAGAAUGGUUUUUACAUUUUUAAAGGUUGUUAAAAAAAAAUAAAAAUAUGCCACAAAGACUGUAUGUGAUCUGCAAAGCCUAAAAUUUUUACCAUCUGGCUCUUUAUAGAAAAAGUCUGUUGUCCCUUUAUCUAAAGGAUGCAGGGAUGUUGGUCCCAGUACAUUGAUUUAAUUCACCUGUUUGGGCCCUGCAGAAACUGAAUGAAUCCCGCCGGUGACUGCAGACUACGAUAAGCUCAACCACAUUAAAGUCCUGAUCCCAGUCUUCAAACCAGAUAUGUAAGUUAUUUUUGAUAAAGUGGGUUAAUAUAACAUCAGAAAUGCAUGCUAUUUUAUUUUUUAAAUAACAAUUUGAAAACAGUUUGUAGUCACAUAGAAGGUACAAUAAUAUACACUUAUACUUUUGCCUCAGGGCUUCUUCUGUCCUCUGCCAUAAUAUAGUCUAAACAUAUUUGCAUCUUGGCAUCCUGCAGAUCAUCAUAUCCAUUCAUUAUAUCAAUGAUUUUAUGUUGAUUAGUGAGAUAAGCCAAAGGCAGACACACUGGAAACCUUGAGAAGACACAUGAGCUCUAGAAGGUGGGAGCUAAAUAUUGUAAAGUUUCAGAGACCAUCCAUAUCUGUAAAAUGUUUACAUAUUUGUGACAAUGAGCAUGCCAAGAUAUCUCUUCAAAGAUAAAGACAAAUUAGUGCACUUUGCACCUCCUGUCACAAAGGAGGCACAAACUCUGGUGGGCCAGAGGACAAAGCAAACUGCAUGAGUAGGCAGCACAGACAUCACUCACUACGGUUACACCAAUGCUCCUUCUUCAGCUUGCAACUAUGGCUGUAUGGGAAGACCCGUGUGACCAGCUAAAGCUGUCUUUUAAAGAGUUAAAAGCCUGAGCUUAAUUUUCAGCUGGGCUGGCUUGGUAUAUGGAGAUGAGCUAAAAUAGAUGGCAAUUGCACUGAAGCCUCAAUCAGGGGUAGUCUUGAAAAACAGUGGCAAGGAAAAAUUCUCCUGACGGGUGGUGUACCUGGUAGACAACUUUGUGGGUAAAGAGAAAUGGCAGGAGAUUAGAAUAUAGAUAGACCUCUAAUUAGGGGUCUGGAAGAAAAAAAAGAAGGGGAAGAUAGGGCCAAGGAGGUCUGGAGUCAAGAAACAGGGAUUAAUAUCCAGGAGUGAACACAAAGUGUGGCAAUCUUUGUACAUGUUAUAUCCGCUAGAGAGAACAUCCUUCUUCAAAGAGACAGUAGACAACGAAGUAGACAAAAUCAUCUGGCCAGCCUCUGUCAUUUGCCACCCUAGUGCUGGCAUGAUGGGCAAAGGAAAGUGACUGAGACAGCGGCAACACAUAACAGCCUGCACUCCCUUUCACCAUGGCUGAUGUAGCACCAUCACUGCCAGCAACAGAGACUGUCACCAAGUCUCCCUUAUGGAGGCUUUUCUUCGGGAUACCUACUGGCCACAGUUGACAAGUUCACAACUGAAUGGAUGGAGCCUUUCAUCCUGGAAGGGUCAGCGGUUUGUUCACACAGGAAUGGAUGCACAUUCAAGUGUGGAGUUGUUUUCUGCCGGCCAGGUCUCAGCCAGCAUUAUUAGCCAAAGGCUUACAGAGAGCUUGAUUCACCAGUACAGGAUCCCACAUAACACUGCAUUGGACCGGGGGCCUACUUUAGAGAAAAGCAAGUGCAGGAGUGGACUCAUGACCAUGAGACUCGAUGGUCACAUCCCAUACACACCACCCAGAAGUUGUCAGCAUAAUAGAGAUUUGGAACGACUUGUUGGGAGCACAGCCAGAACACCAGCUUGGAGUCAACUACAUGAGGAUGACUCAGGACGCUGGAUACAUAUUUAUAUGUGUAGAAAGGACUUUUAUUUGAGUGCAUAACUCUGGUCAAUGUUCCUUUCCUUUUCUGGUUUUGGGUAAGGUUAGGGAUUAACUUAAUAGCAUACCUUAUAGAAAAGUACAGAGUUUUGCCAAAAACAACUGCAAGUGUAACAGUUACAGCCUAUAAAUCAGUCCAUUCAUUGGAAAUCCAUUUUUUAUUUUGUUUUGCUUUAUAAAAAGAAAGAUUGGACAAGGAUCCAGCCCUGUGCAAUAUAGCUGUGAACAACAUAGUUAUUUUAUCAAUCGUUUGCUCUUGUGGACUCAGUGGUAUGUCCUUGUAGAAUUGGAAGUGUGUCUGUGGGUUCCUGGUUUCCUAGGCUUCCGUUGCCCCCCUGGCCUUUGGAGAGUUUCCAGAUGACAUAUUCUUGACUCGUGUUAAUGGCCUAAAUUUGUCUACUGUGCAAUUUACUAGCUGGAUUAAAAGUAAUAAAGGUUUUUUUUUGUCGUUAAGAAUUUAAGUUAAAGUUUUGUUUGGAAAUAAUACAUCAACUUUUCUUCUAACACUGUUAAGUCUGAGUUGAGAAUAACUUAUUUAGCCAAAUUCCCUCUAAAGAUGUAAGCUCUUCAUUCACUAAUUUUAUUACUUUUGAUUGAACUCAAAGUUCUGUCAAAAAUUUCCUCUCUGUAAAAUACAUUUCCUUACCCAACUUUCACAUUGGGAAAAUAAUUUUUCCUACAUGUAACUCCUCUUUAAAAUGCUUCUUUGUCAUUUCAAAUUGAAAUCUCAGUUUUGCCAUGGGAAGAGAGUUUUCCAAAAUUCCUCUCUCCCAACAGGACUAUAUGCUCUAUUCAUUUUUUUUGAUAUUCAUAUACAAAUUGUUCCCAUACUCUAGUGGUUGUCUGAGCAUAGUAGAAUUGAAAAAUAAAUUAGUGUAGUUAUCCAGAACAUUUACAUUUAAUGUUGUGACAAAAGCCAGAGAUUUUGGCCUGAACAGCCACAGCGAUUUUCUAAACUGAUCAAAUCCAGUGGAAGGUUGCUCAAUUUUUCAUAUCUUAGAGGCAAAAAAAUCUAAUAUAAAAAUUAAGAUGUUAAAAGAGAGGCAUAACUGAGGUUUUAAUUGGUCAAAAAGUAGAGUGUACCCAGAGCUAGGUGCAGCCACCUUCAGAUCCUGAACUAGCCCUCCUGAGUCCUUUAUUCCUUUUCUGCAGGCCCUGGGGGAUCACCCUGCUUUCUUCUCUUGGCAUUUGCCACACCCUGUCUUAUUCAACCCUGUAUUGAAGUUGUUUCUCUUCAAAUCUUUACUGAUAGUUUCUCUAGCUUCCUUCUUUUCUUAAUUCUGCUGAAGAGACUAAUAUGAAUCUUCCAAUCUUUAGUGUAACAUUGAUAAUUAGCUGUGUGGCCUUACAUGAGAUACUUGACCUUUCUGUAGCUCGGUUUCUUCAUAGUCAGUUAAAUGAAGAGAAUGAUGACUACUUCAUAGCAUUGUUCUGGAAAUGAAAUGAGAUGCACUGCAUAUCACUUUUAAAAGGCAUUUAGUAAGUAGUUGUCCUCAACUUUUCCCUCUCAUUUUGUUUCUAUAUGUACAAUUUGAAAGAUGCAGAAUUAUUUUUUAAGUUGUUAAAUAAUAUCAUUUUGUGUCGGUGUGAGAACUGCUGGUUUAAAAAACGUUUUCAUAUGUCUCACCUUAUUUGCUGCUGCCACACUAAUUUGAGUUAGGUAAGAUAAUUAUUUACUAUUCUUCUUUCAGAUAAGGAAAUUAAAUCUCAGGGAGAUAAAGAGAAGCAAGUGUCUAGAUUCAUAAUGCCUUCAACAGCACAGUAGAAAUGGGAGGGAGGUAGUGACACAUUUCCUGUGUUGUGGUGUUUAGUGGAGACACCUCCUCCCUGGGUUGUGGUGUUUAGUGGAGACACCUCCUCCCUGGGUUGUGGUACUGAAAACUAAAGGGUAAAUUCUGCAAAUGUCUCCAAGUGUUGUAGAUCAAAGCCAGGGAAAGCAAUCAGAAGCCAGAUUGCAUUCUAAUGGCUGGGGAGACUUAGGCAACAAAACUCGAUGAAGAAACCACAGCCUGGAAGAAUUCUUUAGAAAGAGCCUAGGUCCCAAGUGGGUACCUUGUGUGGAUUCAGAAAUGAACUAACAAUUUUGAAUGAAAAGGACCAUUAAAAUGUUUCUACCAGGACUAACUACUUUCUUUUGUCAAAUUAGCUCAGGUUAAUUAUAGAGUAGACACUGCCUGAAUCUGUAUUUUUCUAAUUAACAUCAAAAUCCACUAGAAAGACACGAACAUUUAAUGUUGUAUAAUGUAUAUGCAUAUGUGGAAACACUAUUGGAUUUUAUGAACUGAUGAAUAUAUAGGAUUACCUUAUUCCAUGCCAUUCCUUUAACAGAUAUUUCUUGUGUACCUGGGAUGUACCAGGUAUACUUCUUGGUAUAGGAACUAUACCAGCAAAAAUUGUCAUGGAGCUUAUAAUAGAAGAGGUGUUUAUAGCUUAGUAAUAUAAAAAAUCAUACAAGAUCUGUAAUUUUUUUUACAUUAAGAGAAAUAAAAAAUAAAAA
rnacentral:lncRNA from 1 species